ACAACGACUGCUACUAAAAAACCAUAAGUAUUUCGAAUCUUAAUGCAGCUCGUUUACAAACAGCAGAGAUAAUGUCGAGAUACAAAAGGUCUUUCAAACCAUGCUAAGCAAAUAGACAUGGAGUAGCUAGAGUUAAGUUUGAUAAUUAAAACUGACAUACAUUAAACUAGAAAUUUGGAGAAGAGUUGUUGAAACUUCUAAUUGAAUUGAAGAUUAGUAAAAUUGGACCAUAAAGCUUAACCAUCUUUCAAUCUUCCAUACAUUUUAAAAACGGGCACAGUAUCGAUAUGAGAGAAAUACGAUACUAAACUAAAAUAAAAGGAAAUACUUAAUUGUAGUUUGAUCUUGGAAGCUACUCGAAUGUAUAAUUCACCAUAUUUAUAACCUCGUCUAUUACGUCACAGAAGGGAAGGAGGAGCGAGGUAUUGGGGUAUAAUACGUGUUCAUACUGCGUAAGGUGGUGGUAGAUGUGUCUCGCU